UGAGCAAUCUGCCCUUCUCAUCGGAAUAAGCGUUGGAAACGACGUCUAAUGCCGAAUACGACCUCCUUUCGCAUGAUCGGAGGUGGAAAGCUCCGGCGGAGAAGGAUGAGCUCGCGGCCUAUCAGCUAGUUGGUGUGGGUAAUGGCCCACCAAGGCGACGACGGGUAGCCGGCCUGGAGAGGGACCGGCCACACUGGGACUGAGACACGGCCCAGACUCCUACGGGAGGNAG
rnacentral:rRNA from 1 species